GAUGAACGCUGGCGGCGUGCCUAAUACAUGCAAGUCGAGCGAAGCGGGGAAGGGUGAGUAACACGUGGAUAACCUCCUAUAAGACUGGGAUAACUUCGGGAAACCGGAGCUAAACCGGAUAAUUAUAGAAGGAUCAGCGCUGCAUUAGCUAGUUGGUAAGGUAACGGAUUACCAAGGCAACGAUGCAUAUCCGACCUGAGAGGGUGUUCGCCCACACUGGAACUGAGACACGUUCCAGACUCCUACGGGAGGCAGCAGUAGGGAAUCUUCCGCAAUGGGCGAAAGCCUGACGGAGCAACGCCGCGUGAGUGAAGAAGGUUUUCGGAUCGUAAAACUCUGUUGUUAGAGAAGCGGUAUCUAACCAGAAAGCCACGGCUAACUACGUGCCAGCCGCCGCGGUAAUUC
rnacentral:rRNA from 1 species